rnacentral:rRNA from 1 species
UACAGGGGGGGCAAGCGUUGUUCGGAAUUACUGGGCGUAAAGGGCUCGUAGGCGGCCAACUAAGUCACACGUGAAAUCCCCAGGCUUAACCUGGGAACUGCGUGUGAUACUGGAUGGCUUGAAUUCGGGAGAGGGAUGCAGAAUUCCAGGUGUAGCGGUGAAAUGCGUAGAUAUCAGGAGGAACACCGGUGGCGAAGGCGGCUCUCUGGACGGUGACUGACGCUGAGACGCGAAAGCGUGGGGAGCAAACAGG